UUACGAGACAAUAUGUGAGACUAUUGAUGCUUUGGUUUCUGUUAUGUUUUCCGCAAUAUGUCUUUUGAGAUGUUUAUGGCAUGCUAGGGUUUUCAGAGAAACCUAUCAUUUAUUACGCUAGUAGUUUUCAUUAUUAAAACCUUGGGGGUUAGUAUGUUUAUAACUGUUUUUGUAUUAUGUAUAUAUAUAAACUUGGUCCACUCACCCUUAUUUUGCGCCCCCUUUCAGGAUUUAGAAUCGAGGCAUACGAUCCUGAGAUCAACGUUUUCGCAUUGGCAUAUUCGAGUCCUCUCGAUGUAAGACCCACAUCCUCUUAUUUAUUCAAUUUUAUAUUAAUUCUUUUAGAGCUCUAGUUAGUUGUAGGCUCUGAACACGUUCCUAAAUUAUUAACUCAUUGUAUUUAAAUUCAUAAACCUUAUUUACUUCUUAUUCUUAGCUUUUGUAUCAAUUAAUGGCUUUCGUCUCCCUCGGGUGUACGCCAGCACGUGUCUAUUUUGGUAUUCGGGGAAUAUCAGGGUCGAGGUGUGUCACGUACAUUCCCAGCCUUAGGGCACUUCAGCAUCGGUAUCUUCUUUGUUCAUUCAAUUUUAUAUUAUUUCCUUUAUAGUGUUAGUUGUAUACUCUCAACAUGUUCCACAAUUGUAUAAGAAUUGUAUUUAAAUCUAUAAGUUUUAUUUAUAUUCGUAUUUCUUCAUUUUUCUCAUGCAUGUUAGUAUGGCUUUGUCACAUUCGGGUGUCGGCCAGCACGUGCCUACCCUGGUGUUUGAAGGAUAUCAGGGUAAGGUGAGACAUACAUGUUAUAUGUAUGUUGCUCAAAUGAACUUAGUUUAUACAAUUUUUUCCUUCAAGAGGUAUCAAGAGCCUACGUCUAGUAGUUUGUGAACCAUUUUGGGUUAUCGAUAUUCAUGGGUUUGAUUUUGCUUCCAUAUUAAAAAUGUAUUAAUGUUGUUUGUGUUGGAAGUAUGCCCACAAAGCCACUCAUUUGAUGUAAUAGCUUUUUGGAAUACUUAUUGUAUUAAACUUU
rnacentral:lncRNA from 1 species